rnacentral:lncRNA from 1 species
ACUGUGAAAAAAUCCUUCUCUCACCCUACAGAUACCUGUACGGAGAACUUGGGAGGCAUUUUUAUAAGCUCAUUGUCAAGUGAAUGUUAAAGUCCCCAUUCACUGAGAAGCAAAGGGUGAAGAAGUGAGACCCUACAUGGCUUUUUAGUGCAUUGAUGGAGCAGAGACACGUCUAUGAACAACUGCCUAUGCAAACUGAUUACUCGGCAGUAUAAUUUAUCAGUUUGUAUGAGUAAGUGAGUGCUUCUCACUAUGGAUUUAGCUUGCACUUCAAUUUAGAACUAGAAGGAAUAAGUGGAAAUCAGGAGAAAUAUUAAAGACAUUCCAGUGUCACUGAGCAUGCCGAAACCUGAAAACAUGUUCCAUUAUCUUGCUUUGGAUUUAUGGAAAUUCUGAACAGUGAUGUGAGAGUGACUACAGUUUGAAGUAUCUGUUAAAUACAGCAACAUGACAUCACAAGGAUUGUUUUGGAGUCUUCUGGAUAUGAGAACAUUAUAAAAGGUGAAAAAGUAGAACUGAAAUAUGAAGGGAGAAAAAGAGACAAACAUGGUUUCAAGUCUCACUUAGAGAAGAAGGAUUGUUUAUUUAUUUGAUGGAAAUUGGGUCAAUUGAAGACUCUGACACAGAGAAUAACGGUACCAGA